GGGAAGGUAGCUCAGCUCGGGAGAGCACACGCUUAGGAACCGUGCAGUUUAGUAAGAAAAUGUACUAAAUGCGGCAUGUCGGGGGUUCAAAUCCCCCCCUUCCCA
rnacentral:tRNA from 1 species